rnacentral:rRNA from 1 species
UACGGGGGGGGCAAGCGUUGUUCGGAAUUACUGGGCGUAAAGGGCGCGUAGGCGGCCUUCUAAGUCGGACGUGAAAUCCCUCGGCUUAACCGAGGAACUGCGUCCGAUACUGAAAGGCUUGAAUCCGGGAGAGGUGAGUGGAACUGCGAGUGUAGAGGUGAAAUUCGUAGAUAUUCGCAAGAACACCAGUGGCGAAGGCGGCUCACUGGCCCGAUACUGACGCUGAGGCACGAAAGCGUGGGGAGCAAACAGG